ACCUGAGAAUGACUUUUCAAAUAUAGCAGAGACAAGACCAAAGCAGAACAUUCAGGAGCUGCUGGCAAAUAAGUCAGUCCUGUAGAGUAAAGGCUUCUUUAUUCCAUAGAGCCCAACACCUACCUCAGGAAUCACCUGUGACACCAGGCGUACUCCUGUGUGAGGGAUCCGUCUCCAUGGGGGAUGACACCACCACACAAAGCAAACCAGGCA